AUGCCGAGGAGUUUGCCGCCGCCGAUGCGCAGUCCGGAGACAGUCGCGUCAGUGUGGGCGACGGCGUCUGAAAGAUUGAAGAGAAAGCAUGCACCUGUGUUGGCGAGGAGGCUGUCGUCGUGGAUGUCGCGGGCGUCGUCGGCGUCGUCUGGCGUCGUUGGUGCGGGCGUCCUCGGCGCGGGCGUUUCGGUGGAGGGCAACUCUGAAGAGCGGCAGGAGGAUUGGUCGCCGCUAAUUUUGGGGCGGAUGUGGUUGUUUCGGUGUGUUUUUUUCUUUUCUUUUUGUUGGCGUUGGCUCAAGGACGGCAGAGUUUCGUCCGCCCACCUAAAUUGCUUAUCGUACAACGUCAGGGGUACUUUUCUGUAUUGA
rnacentral:rRNA from 1 species